rnacentral:rRNA from 1 species
UACGUAGGGGCCGAGCGUUUGUCCGGAGUUAUUGGGCGUAAAGCGCGCGCAGGCGGCCUCGCGCGCCCGACGUGAAAGCCCCCGGCUUAACCGGGGAGAGUCGUUGGGGACGGCGGGGCUUGAGGGCGGGAGAGGUCGGUGGAAUUCCCGGUGUAGUGGUGAAAUGCGUAGAGAUCGGGAGGAACACCUGUGGCGAAGGCGGCCGACUGGGCCGACCCUGACGCUGAGGCGCGAAGGCGUGGGGAGCGAACGGG